rnacentral:rRNA from 1 species
AACCCAGUGCAAUUCGUUGCACUAUCGUUAACUGAAUACAUAGGUUAACGAGGCGAACCGGGGGAACUGAAACAUCUAAGUACCCCGAGGAAAAGAAAUCAACCGAGAUUCCCCCAGUAGCGGCGAGCGAACGGGGAGCAGCCCAGAGUCUGAAUCAGCUUGUGUGUUAGUGGAACGGUCUGGAAAGUCCGACGGUACAGGGUGAUAGUCCCGUACACCAAAAUGCACAGGUUGUGAACUCGAAGAGUAGGGCGGGACACGUGGUAUCCUGUCUGAAUAUGGGGGGACCAUCCUCCAAGGCUAAAUACUCCUGACUGACCGAUAGUGAACCAGUACCGUGAGGGAAAGGCGAAAAGAACCCCGGCGAGGGGAGUGAAAAAGAACCUGAAACCGUGUACGUACAAGCAGUGGGAGCACCUUCGGGUGUGACUGCGUACCUUUUGUAUAAUGGGUCAGCGACUUAUAUUCUGUAGCAAGGUUAACCGUAUAGGGGAGCCGCAGGGAAACCGAGUCUUAACUGGGCGUUAAGUUGCAGGGUAUAGACCCGAAACCCGGUGAUCUAGCCAUGGGCAGGUUGAAGGUUGGGUAACACUAACUGGAGGACCGAACCGACUAAUGUUGAAAAAUUAGCGGAUGACUUGUGGCUGGGGGUGAAAGGCCAAUCAAACCGGGAGAUAGCUGGUUCUCCCCGAAAGCUAUUUAGGUAGCGCCUCGUGAAUUCAUCUUCGGGGGUAGAGCACUGUUUCGGCUAGGGGGUCAUCCCGACUUACCAACCCGAUGCAAACUACGAAUACCGAAGAAUGUUAUCACGGGAGACACACGGCGGGUGCUAACGUCCGUCGUGAAGAGGGAAACAACCCAGACCGCCAGCUAAGGUCCCAAAGUCAUGGUUAAGUGGGAAACGAUGUGGGAAGGCACAGACAGCCAGGAUGUUGGCUUAGAAGCAGCCAUCAUUUAAAGAAAGCGUAAUAGCUCACUGGUCGAGUCGGCCUGCGCGGAAGAUGUAACGGGGCUAAACCAUGCACCGAAGCUGCGGCAGCGACACUAUGUGUUGUUGGGUAGGGGAGCGUUCUGUAAGCCUGCGAAGGUGACCUGUGAGGGUUGCUGGAGGUAUCAGAAGUGCGAAUGCUGACAUAAGUAACGAUAAAGCGGGUGAAAAGCCCGCUCGCCGGAAGACCAAGGGUUCCUGUCCAACGUUAAUCGGGGCAGGGUGAGUCGACCCCUAAGGCGAGGCCGAAAGGCGUAGUCGAUGG